rnacentral:tmRNA from 1 species
GGGGGCGAAAAGCUUCGACAGAAAUCUGCCCCAAGAAAGGCAAGCCGAGGCGCAAGACCUCGUUAAAACUUGCAAAAAACAAGUGCCAAUUCAUUCAGUUCUCCUGCUCUAGCCUACGCUUAGAGCAGCAUCUGGGACGACUCAAUCUCGAUAGGUCAUUCUAGGUGUCAUUUUUGAUCGAGAAAAGUGUUCUUUUCUGGCGAAAGCCAAGAUUGGCGGGAAAACCAGCCUAAUGGUCUUUCCUGCUUCAAAGAAAAAUUAGGCUAAGCUUGUAGUCUUCCUUUGGGAAAAUUUCCUGGACCCGGGUGCAAUUCUCGGCGCCUCCACUU